rnacentral:rRNA from 2 species
CGAAUGCUGACAUAAGUAACGAUAAAGCGGGUGAAAAGCCCGCUCGCCGGAAGACCAAGGGUUCCUGUCCAACGUUAAUCGGGGCAGGGUGAGUCGACCCCUAAGGCGAGGCCGAAAGGCGUAGUCGAUGGGAAACAGGUUAAUAUUCCUGUACUUGGUGUUACUGCGAAGGGGGGACGGAGAAGGCUAUGUUGGCCGGGCGACGGUUGUCCCGGUUUAAGCGUGUAGGCUGGUUUUCCAGGCAAAUCCGGAAAAUCAAGGCUGAGGCGUGAUGACGAGGCACUACGGUGCUGAAGCAACAAAUGCCCUGCUUCCAGGAAAAGCCUCUAAGCAUCAGGUAACAUCAAAUCGUACCCCAAACCGACACAGGUGGUCAGGUAGAGAAUACCAAGGCGCUUGAGAGAACUCGGGUGAAGGAACUAGGCAAAAUGGUGCCGUAACUUCGGGAGAAGGCACGCUGAUAUGUAGGUGAAGUCCCUCGCGGAUGGAGCUGAAAUCAGUCGAAGAUACCAGCUGGCUGCAACUGUUUAUUAAAAACACAGCACUGUGCAAACACGAAAGUGGACGUAUACGGUGUGACGCCUGCCCGGUGCCGGAAGGUUAAUUGAUGGGGUCAGCGCAAGCGAAGCUCUUGAUCGAAGCCCCGGUAAACGGCGGCCGUAACUAUAACGGUCCUAAGGUAGCGAAAUUCCUUGUCGGGUAAGUUCCGACCUGCACGAAUGGCGUAAUGAUGGCCAGGCUGUCUCCACCCGAGACUCAGUGAAAUUGAACUCGCUGUGAAGAUGCAGUGUACCCGCGGCAAGACGGAAAGACCCCGUGAACCUUUACUAUAGCUUGACACUGAACAUUGAGCCUUGAUGUGUAGGAUAGGUGGGAGGCUUUGAAGUGUGGACGCCAGUCUGCAUGGAGCCGACCUUGAAAUACCACCCUUUAAUGUUUGAUGUUCUAACGUGGACCCGUGAUCCGGGUUGCGGACAGUGUCUGGUGGGUAGUUUGACUGGGGCGGUCUCCUCCUAAAGAGUAACGGAGGAGCACGAAGGUUGGCUAAUCCUGGUCGGACAUCAGGAGGUUAGUGCAAUGGCAUAAGCCAGCUUGACUGCGAGCGUGACGGCGCGAGCAGGUGCGAAAGCAGGUCAUAGUGAUCCGGUGGUUCUGAAUGGAAGGGCCAUCGCUCAACGGAUAAAAGGUACUCCGGGGAUAACAGGCUGAUACCGCCCAAGAGUUCAUAUCGACGGCGGUGUUUGGCACCUCGAUGUCGGCUCAUCACAUCCUGGGGCUGAAGUAGGUCCCAAGGGUAUGGCUGUUCGCCAUUUAAAGUGGUACGCGAGCUGGGUUUAGAACGUCGUGAGACAGUUCGGUCCCUAUCUGCCGUGGGCGCUGGAGAACUGAGGGGGGCUGCUCCUAGUACGAGAGGACCGGAGUGGACGCAUCACUGGUGUUCGGGUUGUCAUGCCAAUGGCACUGCCCGGUAGCUAAAUGCGGAAGAGAUAAGUGCUGAAAGCAUCUAAGCACGAAACUUGCCCCGAGAUGAGUUCUCCCUGACCCUUUAAGGGUCCUGAAGGAACGUUGAAGACGACGACGUUGAUAGGCCGGGUGUGUAAGCGCAGCGAUGCGUUGAGCUAACCGGUACUAAUGAACCGUGAGGCUUAACCUU